rnacentral:rRNA from 1 species
UACGAAGGGGGCUAGCGUUGUUCGGAUUUACUGGGCGUAAAGGGCGCGUAGGCGGUCUGCUAAGCGUGCGGUGAAAGCCUGGGGCUCAACCCCAGGUCUGCCGUGCGAACUGGUGGACUAGAGCACUGUAGAGGCAGGUGGAAUUUCGGGUGUAGCGGUGGAAUGCGUAGAGAUCCGAAAGAACACCGGUGGCGAAGGCGGCCUGCUGGGCAGUUGCUGACGCUGAGGCGCGACAGCGUGGGGAGCAAACAGG